AACGUAGGAGACAAACGUUAUCCGGAGUUACUGGGCGUAAAGGGCGUGUAGGCGGUUUGUUAAGUCUGGCGUGAAAGCUCUCGGCUAAACCGGGAGAGGUCGUUGGAUACUGGCAAACUAGAGGAUGGUAGAGGCGUGUGGAAUUCCGGGUGUAGUGGUGAAAUGCGUAGAGAUCCGGAGGAACACCGAUGGCGAAGGCAGCUUCCUGGCCCAAUUCUGACGCUGAGGUGCGAAAGCGUGGGUAGCGAACGGG
rnacentral:rRNA from 1 species